rnacentral:rRNA from 1 species
CCUACGGGAGGCAGCAGUGAGGAAUAUUGGUCAAUGGGCGGGAGCCUGAACCAGCCAAGCCGCGUGAGGGAAGAAGGUACAGCGUAUCGUAAAACUCUUUUGUCAGGGAAAAAAGGAGGGGACUAGUCCCAGGAUGAGGGUACCUGAAGAAAAAGCAUCGGCUAACUCCGUGCCAGCAGCAGCGGUAAUACGGAGGAUGCGAGCGUUAUCCGGAUUUAUUGGGGUAAAGGGGUGAGCAGGCGGCCUGUUAAGUCAGCGGUAAAAGCCCGGGGUUCAACCCCGGCGAGCCGUUGAAACGGGCGAGCUGGAGUUGGAGAGAAGUACGCGGAAUGCGCGGUGUAGCGGUGAAAUGCUUAGAGAUCGCGCAGAACCCCGAUUGCGAAGGCAGCGUACCGGCUCCACACUGACGCUGAGGCACGAAAGCGUGGGUAUCGAACAGGAUUAGAUACCCCAGUAGUC